rnacentral:rRNA from 1 species
GGGUGAGUAACGUGUGGGCAACCUGCCUCAUACAGGGGGAUAACAGUUGGAAACGACUGCUAAUACCGCAUAAGCGCACAAUACCGCAUGGUACCGUGUGAAAAACUCCGGUGGUAUGAGAUGGACCCGCGUCUGAUUAGCUAGUUGGUGGGGCAACAGCCUACCAAGGCGACGAUCAGUAGCCGACCUGAGAGGGUGACCGGCCACAUUGGGACUGAGACACGGCCCAAACUCCUACGGGAGGCAGCAGUGGGGAAUAUUGCACAAUGGGGGAAACCCUGAUGCAGCGACGCCGCGUGAGCGAAGAAGUAUUUCGGUAUGUAAAGCUCUAUCAGCAGGGAAGAAAAAAUGACGGUACCUGACUAAGAAGCACCGGCUAAAUACGUGCCAGCAGCCGCGGUAAUACGUAUGGUGCAAGCGUUAUCCGGAUUUACUGGGUGUAAAGGGAGCGCAGGCGGUGCGGCAAGUCUGAUGUGAAAGCCCGGGGCUCAACCCCGGUAUUGCAUUGGAAACUGUCGUACUAGAGUGUCGGAGGGGUAAGUGGAAUUCCUAGUGUAGCGGUGAAAUGCGUAGAUAUUAGGAGGAACACCAGUGGCGAAGGCGGCUUACUGGACGAUAACUGACGCUGAGGCUCGAAAGCGUGGGGAGCAAACAGGAUUAGAUACCCUGGUAGUCCA